AUGCGACCCCAGGAUGGGCGAGGCCCCCCGCUGAGUUUAAGCAUAUCAAUAAGCGGAGGAGA
rnacentral:rRNA from 1 species